AUUGAACGCUGGCGGCAGGCCUAACACAUGCAAGUCGAGCGGAUGACGGGAGCUUGCUCCUUGAUUCAGCGGCGGACGGGUGAGUAAUGCCUAGGAAUCUGCCUGGUAGUGGGGGACAACGUUUCGAAAGGAACGCUAAUACCGCAUACGUCCUACGAGAGAAAGCAGGGAACCUUCGGGCCUUGCGCUAUCAGAUGAGCCUAGGUCGGAUUAGCUAGUAGGUGAGGUAAUGGCUCACCUAGGCGACGAUCCGUAACUGGUCUGAGAGGAUGAUCAGUCACACUGGAACUGAGACACGGUCCAGACUCCUACGGGAGGCAGCAGUGGGGAAUAUUGGACAAUGGGCGAAAGCCUGAUCCAGCCAUGCCGCGUGUGUGAAGAAGGUCUUCGGAUUGUAAAGCACUUUAAGUUGGGAGGAAGGGCAGUAAGCUAAUACCUUGCUGUUUUGACGUUACCGACAGAAUAAGCACCGGCUAACUCUGUGCCAGCCGCCGCGGUAAAAC
rnacentral:rRNA from 1 species